AUUGAACGCUGGCGGCAUGCUUUACACAUGCAAGUCGAACGGUAACAGGGAGCUUGCUCCGCUGACGAGUGGCGAACGGGUGAGUAAUGCAUCGGAACGUACCGUGUAAUGGGGGAUAACGUAGCGAAAGUUACGCUAAUACCGCAUACGCCCUGAGGGGGAAAGUGGGGGACCGCAAGGCCUCACGUUAUACGAGCGGCCGAUGUCGGAUUAGCUAGUUGGUGGGGUAAAGGCCUACCAAGGCGACGAUCCGUAGCGGGUCUGAGAGGAUGAUCCGCCACACUGGGACUGAGACACGGCCCAGACUCCUACGGGAGGCAGCAGUGGGGAAUUUUGGACAAUGGGGGCAACCCUGAUCCAGCCAUGCCGCGUGAGUGAAGAAGGCCUUCGGGUUGUAAAGCUCUUUCAGGUGGAAAGAAAUCUCCCGGGUGAAUACCCUGGGAGGAUGACGGUACCAUCAGAAGAAGCACCGGCUAACUACGUG
rnacentral:rRNA from 1 species